AGAGUUUGAUCCUGGCUCAGAUUGAACGCUGGCGGCAGGCUUAACACAUGCAAGUCGAACGGUAACAGGGAGAAGCUUGCUUCUUUGCUGACGAGUGGCGGACGGGUGAGUAAUGCUUGGGAAUCUGGCUUAUGGAGGGGGAUAACUACGGGAAACUGUAGCUAAUACCGCGUAAUAUCUUCGGAUUAAAGGGUGGGACUUUCGGGCCACCUGCCAUAAGAUGAGCCCAAGUGGGAUUAGGUAGUUGGUGGGGUAAAGGCCUACCAAGCCGACGAUCUCUAGCUGGUCUGAGAGGAUGACCAGCCACACUGGAACUGAGACACGGUCCAGACUCCUACGGGAGGCAGCAGUGGGGAGUAUUGCACAAUGGGGGGAACCCUGAUGCAGCCAUGCCGCGUGAAUGAAGAAGGCCUUCGGGUUGUAAAGUUCUUUCGGUGAUGAGGAAGGUGUUUGUUUUAAUAGAACAAGCAAUUGACGUUAGUCACAGAAGAAGCACCGGCUAACUCCGUGCCAGCAGCCGCGGUAAUACGGAGGGUGCGAGCGUUAAUCGGAAUGACUGGGCGUAAAGGGCACGCAGGCGGUGACUUAAGUGAGAUGUGAAAGCCCCGAGCUUAACUUGGGAAUUGCAUUUCAUACUGGGUCGCUAGAGUAUUUUAGGGAGGGGUAGAAUUCCACGUGUAGCGGUGAAAUGCGUAGAGAUGUGGAGGAAUACCGAAGGCGAAGGCAGCCCCUUGGGAAUAUACUGACGCUCAUGUGCGAAAGCGUGGGGAGCAAACAGGAUUAGAUACCCUGGUAGUCCACGCUGUAAACGCUGUCGAUUUGGGGAUUGGGCUUAGAGCUUGGUGCCCGUAGCU
rnacentral:rRNA from 1 species